GGACUACAGGGGUAUCUAAUCCUGUUUGCUCCCCACGCUUUCGCGCCUCAGCGUCAAUGUCGGUCCAGAUAGCCGCCUUCGCCACCGGUGUUCUUCCCAAUAUCUACGAAUUUCACCUCUACACUGGGAAUUCCGCUAUCCUCUCCCGAAUUCAAGCAACCCAGUAUCAAAUGCAGUCCCCAGGUUAAGCCCAGGACUUUCACAUCUGACUUGGGUCGCCGCCUACGCGCCCUUUACGCCCAGUAAUUCCGAACAACGCUCGCCCCCUUCGUAUUACCGCGGCGGCUGGCAC
rnacentral:rRNA from 1 species